CAGAACAUGCUACUCCCACCAAGGUCCCCACCGUCCUUACCUAAGGACCUAAUGAACAAGCUGUCUGGGCUGGACCUCCAGAGGCCCUGCAGGAGAGACAGACAGAGAAGACAACAAAAUGU